CCACCCGAUGUUACAGGAAGGCCAUAAAGAUCAUCAAGGACAACAACCACCCGAGCCACUGCCUGUUCACCCUGCUAUCAUCCAGAAGGCGAGGUCAGUACAGGUGCAUCAAAGCUGGGACCGAGAGACUGAAAAACAUCUUCUAUCUCAAGGCCAUCAGACUGUUAAACAGCCACCACUAACAUUGAGUGGCUGCUGCCAACACACUGACUCAACUCCAGCCACUUUAAUAAUGGGAAUUGAUGUAAAAUAUAUCACUAGCCACUUUAAACGAUGCUAUUUAAUAUAAUGUUUACAUACCCUACAUUAUUCAUCUCGUAUGUAUGCGUAUAUACUGUACUCUAUAUCAUCUACUGCAUCUUUAUGUAAUACAUGUAUCACUAGCCACUUUAAACUAUGCCACUUUGUUUACAUACUCAUCUCAUAUGUAUAUACUGUACUCGAUACCAUCUACUGCAUCUUGCCUAUGCCACUCUGUACCAUCACUCAUUCAUAUAUCUUUAUGUACAUAUUCUUUAUCCCUUUGGUUAUUACUGCAUUGUCGGAACUCGAAGCACAAGCAUUUCGCUACACUCACAUUAACAUCUGCUAACCAUGUGUAUGUGACAAAUAAGAUUUGAUUUGAUUUGAGUGGCCAGGUGGUUUUGGAGUUGGUUAGAAACAGCACGUUUGAGGGAGGAGCUUACUCUGGAAGGGCAGAUUGGAAAUAGGCCUGUAGUUCUGGAGGUUGUCAGGCAUUUUAAGUGCUGGUGUGACUGUGGACAGUUUGAGCUGAGGAGGGACACAUCCGGUGAUGAGGGACUUGUUGAUACUUUCUGUGAAGAAAGGCUCCAGAGCAGGUGGCGUACAUGAGACUGUAAUGUCAGAGGUCAAGAGCCAUGGAUCCACUCAUCUUUCCUAGAGGGAGCACCAGCAGAAGAAGCACUGGAACACUAGAGUACAGUGACUUAUGUCUUCGGCUGUGUUCAAGAGGCACGUAAUGGAACACCAAGUUUCAAGCAUUUUCCAAAAAGAAUGCUCAUUCCGCUAUACGUUUUGAAUAGGUUUAUUCAUUUUGGUCCUACUGAACAUGACCCUGAUAGCUGCUGUAAUGCAGACCAUGUAAAAAGACUUGUAUCAUUCCAUUCCAUUGGAAUGUCUGAAUUAUUGAUGACCUGCCCAGAUUAAAUAGUGAAUCUGACUAACAUGCCUAUGUUGAAGUGCAUGUUUAUUAGAGGGGGGGGGGGACUUUUAUUGUAAAUAAGAAUAGAAUAUGUUUCUAAACACUUCUGCAUGAAUGUGGAUGCUACCAUGAUUACAGAUAAUGAAUCGUGAAUAAUGAUGAGUGACAAAGUUACAGAUGCCCAAAUAUCAUACCCCUCAAUGGCUUGUAGGUAUAUUUGUGCAUCUAACAUUCUCACUCAUUAUUCACGAUUCCUUCAGGAUUAUCCGUCUUAUUCUUUUUUUUCUUUCUUUUUUUUUACAAUAAAAGUGACUCCAAAAUGA